rnacentral:lncRNA from 1 species
AGAACAAAUGGAGCACUUUCAAAAUCAGAAGAAGCAAAGCAAUAAAGAAGUACUGAAUUUUCUGGUGAUAAACUAAGAACAUGCAACUUUUGUCUUCAUGCAAAAUCUGAAUAAAAGUGAAGAGGGCAGUUCUAAAGAGAGGAAGCUGCUGAGCAAUGUCCAAGGAUACAAUUGGCGGAGCUUCUUUUAUUUUAAAAAACAUGAUGAACAAGUAAAGAAUGUGCACAAGCAGGAAGAAACUGACCAAAAGGUAAAUUUUCUUUAUGUGAAAUUUGUCAUAAAGAUUUAUGUGCAUUUCUCCAUUUUAAUUACUAGGUAAUAAGCUUGUAAAAUAAUCUCUAAGACCCUUUGGCAGUUUUCACUAUCAAUGGUUAUAUUAACAUAGGCCAAUCUAAGCUUUUAAAUAUUGUCUCUCUUGAUCUCUAGCUAUUUGAUGACGCCUCUGCUUCUUUUAUACCCCAAAGCUGCUGGUGUCUGACUAGAUAGAAACUAAAGUUGGCCAUUGAUUAAAGAGUAUUGGAAUGAAAAAAUAUAUCCUGAAAUUUGAUUAUAAAAAAGUAAGCGGUGAAGAACUUCUUGAAUUAGACAAUGACGCAUUAAAAGUAAGCUUCAGAAUUGGCUUUUUAUAUAUGGUAUAUAACCUUUUUUAUGGUGGACAUUGGAUGAAAAACAGUACAAAUAAUGGGAUUCCUAUAUAUGGCCCAUUUGACAACCUUAUGGUUUUAAGGAAAACAUGUUAACUACCUUUUUGAAUGUAGUUUCAAGAAAUGUUUUUUAAUGUGAUUUGCUCCCCCUUUUUUUAGUAUUCCUGCCAUAUGGUCAUUCCUUUUUAUUUCUAUUUAUUUAUUGAAACCUUAUAUCUUCCAUUUUAGAAUAUAUAACAUGUAUGUUUCCGAGGAAAAAAAGUUUUAAGAGGUGGGCAAUGUGAGGCAAGUGACUGUCUCAGCAUCAUACUUCUAGGGGGUCACAUUUGAAAUCAGGACCUCUUUUCACUAGGUCUGGUUCUCAAUCUAUUGAGCCACCAUUCUUUUUUUUCUUUUUUUAGAAUUCUAUCUAUUAACAAACACUGGAAAACAGAAAAGCCAUAUUUUAAUUUUUGACCAGGCAGAUUAACUUCAUUGAAACAGAUUAAAAAACAGUAAUCAUGGGAAAUGGCAAGCUUUCAUUUCAUUUAUAGUAAAUGAAAUAUCAAUAUUUUAACUUAUCUCUGAAAGUACCAAAUAAAUUAUUUCAAAAAGAUCA